rnacentral:rRNA from 1 species
UACGUAGGGUGCGAGCGUUGUCCGGAAUUAUUGGGCGUAAAGAGCUCGUAGGCGGUUUGGUAAGUCGGGUGUGAAAUCUCCACGCUCAACGUGGAGGGGCCACUCGAUACUGCCAUGACUCGAGUCCGGUAGAGGAGUGUGGAAUUCCCGGUGUAGCGGUGAAAUUCGUAGAUAUUCGGAAGAACACCAGUGGCGAAGGCGACAUACUGGACACAUAUUGACGCUGAGGUGCGAAAGCGUGGGGAGCAAACAGG